rnacentral:misc_RNA from 1 species
GUAGGUGAACCUGCGGAAGGAUCAUUAACACAAUACAUUUACCCAAAUGUAUUUUAACCCCCCUUUGCAAACUUGUUUCAUAUUGUUUUCCCGGAUUUGAGAGGUCGUGCGCAAGUACGUGCUUUUUUCAAAUCUGUGGUUUCAAACCUUUUAUAACCCCUUGAACUGUCUUUGACUGAGACUCUGAGCUAUGACAAACUUCAAAAACUUGUCAUACCUCUGCCAUAUAUCAAACGCUGAACAACUCUUAGCAACGGAUAUCUUGGCUCUC